rnacentral:rRNA from 1 species
GUAGCGGCGAGUGAAGCGGCAAAAGCUCAAAUUUGAAAUCUGGCGCCUUCGGUGUCCGAGUUGUAAUUUGAAGAUUGUAACCUUGGGGUUGGCUCUUGUCUAUGUUUCUUGGAACAGGACGUCACAGAGGGUGAGAAUCCCGUGCGAUGAGAUGCCCAAUUCUAUGUAAGGUGCUUUCGAAGAGUCGAGUUGUUUGGGAAUGCAGCUCUAAGUGGGUGGUAAAUUCCAUCUAAAGCUAAAUAUUGGCGAGAGACCGAUAGCGAACAAGUACAGUGAUGGAAAGAUGAAAAGAACUUUGAAAAGAGAGUGAAAAAGUACGUGAAAUUGUUGAAAGGGAAGGGUUUGAGAUCAGACUCGAUAUUUUGUGAGCCUUGCCUUCGUGGCGGGGUGACCCGCAGCUUAUCGGGCCAGCAUCGGUUUGGGCGGUAGGAUAAUGGCGUAGGAAUGUGACUUUACUUCGGUGAAGUGUUAUAGCCUGCGUUGAUGCUGCCUGCCUAGACCGAGGACUGCGAUUUUAUCAAGGAUGCUGGCAUAAUGAUCCCAAACCGCCCGUCUUGA